AUAUUGGACAAUGGGGGCAACCCUGACCCAGCCAUGCCGCGUGCGUGAAGAAGGUCUUCGGACUGUAAAGCACUCUAAGUUGGGAGGAAGGGCUUUAGGUUAAUACCCUGAAGUCUUGACGUUACCAACAGAAUACGCACCGGCUAACUCUGUCACAGCAGCCGCGGUAAUACAGAGGGUGCAAGCGUUAAUCGGAAUUACUAGGCGUAAACCGCGCGUAGGUGGUUCAGUAAGAUGGGUGUGAAAUCCCCGGGCUUAACCUGGGAACUGCUUUCAUAACUACUGAGCUAGAGGACGGUAGAGGGUAGUGGAAUUUCCUGUGUAGCGGUGAAAUGCGUAGGUAUAGGGAGGAACACCAGUGGCGAAGGCGACUACCUGGACUGAUACUGACACUGAGGUGCGAAAGCGUGGGGAGCAAAC
rnacentral:rRNA from 1 species